CUACGGGCGGCAGCAGUGAGGAAUAUUGCACAAUGGGGGGAACCCUGAUGCAGCAACGCCGCGUGGAGGAUGACGCAUUUCGGUGUGUAAACUCCUUUUAUAUGUCAAGAAAAUGACGGUAGCAUAUGAAUAAGCACCGGCUAACUCCGUGCCAGCAGCCGCGGUAAUACGGAGGGUGCAAGCGUUACUCGGAAUCACUGGGCGUAAAGGACGCGUAGGCGGGUUGGAAAGUCAGGUGUGAAAUCCUACAGCUUAACUGUAGAACUGCACUUGAAACUUCUAAUCUAGAGUAUGGGAGGGGGAGAUGGAAUUAGUGGUGUAGGGGUAAAAUCCGUAGAUAUCACUAGGAAUACCAAAAGCGAAGGCGACCUCCUGGAACAUUACUGACGCUAAAGCGUGAAAGCGUGGGGAGCAAACAGGAUUAGAUACCCGAGUAGUC
rnacentral:rRNA from 1 species